rnacentral:pre_miRNA from 1 species
GUGGGGAGUGCUGGAUCUUGGGCUGUGUCCCCCGGCGCCCUAUGCUCCAGGGCCGGCGCCGUUGGAAUCGCGCUCCUGGGGCCACGCAGCCCCCU